rnacentral:rRNA from 1 species
GACGAACGCUGGCGGCGUGCUUAACACAUGCAAGUCGAACGGAAAGGCCCUGCUUUUGUGGGGUGCUCGAGUGGCGAACGGGUGAGUAACACGUGAGUAACCUGCCCUUGACUUUGGGAUAACUUCAGGAAACUGGGGCUAAUACCGGAUAGGAGCUCCUGCUGCAUGGUGGGGGUUGGAAAGUUUCGGCGGUUGGGGAUGGACUCGCGGCUUAUCAGCUUGUUGGUGGGGUAGUGGCUUACCAAGGCUUUGACGGGUAGCCGGCCUGAGAGGGUGACCGGCCACAUUGGGACUGAGAUACGGCCCAGACUCCUACGGGAGGCAGCAGUGGGGAAUAUUGCACAAUGGGCGGAAGCCUGAUGCAGCAACGCCGCGUGCGGGAUGACGGCCUUCGGGUUGUAAACCGCUUUCGCCUGUGACGAAGCGUGAGUGACGGUAAUGGGUAAAGAAGCACCGGCUAACUACGUGCCAGCAGCCGCGGUGAUACGUAGGGUGCGAGCGUUGUCCGGAUUUAUUGGGCGUAAAGGGCUCGUAGGUGGUUGAUCGCGUCGGAAGUGUAAUCUUGGGGCUUAACCCUGAGCGUGCUUUCGAUACGGGUUGACUUGAGGAAGGUAGGGGAGAAUGGAAUUCCUGGUGGAGCGGUGGAAUGCGCAGAUAUCAGGAGGAACACCAGUGGCGAAGGCGGUUCUCUGGGCCUUUCCUGACGCUGAGGAGCGAAAGCGUGGGGAGCGAACAGGCUUAGAUACCCUGGUAGUCCACGCUGUAAACGGUGGGUACUAGGUGUGGGGUCCAUUCCACGGGUUCCGUGCCGUAGCUAACGCUUUAAGUACCCCGCCUGGGGAGUACGGCCGCAAGGCUAAAACUCAAAGGAAUUGACGGGGCCCCGCACAAGCGGCGGAGCAUGCGGAUUAAUUCGAUGCAACGCGUAGAACCUUACCUGGGUUUGACAUGGAUCGGGAGUGCUCAGAGAUGGGUGUGCCUCUUUUGGGGUCGGUUCACAGGUGGUGCAUGGCUGUCGUCAGCUCGUGUCGUGAGAUGUUGGGUUAAGUCCCGCAACGAGCGCAACCCUUGUUCACUGUUGCCAGCACGUUAUGGUGGGGACUCAGUGGAGACCGCCGGCGUCAACUCGGAGGAAGGUGGGGAUGACGUCAAGUCAUCAUACCCCUUAUGUCCAGGGCUUCACGCACGCUACAAUGGCUGGUACAGAGAGUGGCGAGCCUGUGAGGGUGAGCGAAUCUCGGAAAGCCGGUCUCAGUUCGGAUUGGGGUCUGCAACUCGACCUCAUGAAGUCGGAGUCGCUAGUAAUCGCAGAUCAGCAACGCUGCGGUGAAUCCGUUAAAGGGGCU